rnacentral:rRNA from 1 species
AACGAACGCUGGCGGCAUGCCUAACACAUGCAAGUCGAACGAAGUCUUCGGACUUAGUGGCGCACGGGUGCGUAACGCGUGGGAAUCUACCCUUGGGUACGGAAUAACUCAGAGAAAUUUGUGCUAAUACCGUAUAAUGACUUCGGUCCAAAGAUUUAUCGCCCAAGGAUGAGCCCGCGUAAGAUUAGCUAGUUGGUGGGGUAAAAGCCUACCAAGGCGACGAUCUUUAGCUGGUCUGAGAGGAUGAUCAGCCACACUGGGACUGAGACACGGCCCAGACUCCUACGGGAGGCAGCAGUGGGGAAUAUUGGACAAUGGGCGAAAGCCUGAUCCAGCAAUGCCGCGUGAGUGAUGAAGGCCCUAGGGUUGUAAAGCUCUUUUACCCGGGAUGAUAAUGACAGUACCGGGAGAAUAAGCUCCGGCUAACUCCGUGCCAG